GAGGCAAGUAAUUUGACUGAGCCUGCAGCCAAUGGGCAGAAGGAAGGUGUGAUUCUUAAAAGAGCAAGUGCUGGCCGCAAACCAUACAGUAAUACAAUCCAACCUGCCAGUUUUGGAUAAAGGGCCCCCCACACACACACUUUGGAAGUGGGGAUGGAAUCCAGGACGUUGUGAGUACCAAGCAGCGCAUCCUGUGCCCCUGAGAUACACCCCAACCCGACAUUUUUUUUCGAAGGAAUUUUUCUCAUGUACUGUAUUGGGUCUCAUUAAGUCGCUAAAUUGCCUAGGAUGGACUGGAACUUGCUAUCCUCCCUCCAGCUUCAUCUUCUCUUCAGAUCCAUUUGACUACAACUUAAAUGCCCAUCGACUGAGGAAUGGAUGAAAAAGAUGUGGUAUUUCUAUAUAACGGAAUACUAUUCAGCCAUAAAGAGUGAUAAACAACAUUUUUAUAGGUAAAUGCAUAUGCCUUAAAAACAUAAUAUUAGUGAAAUAAAUAUGCAUAAUCAUCACGUUGUUUCAUUAGUAUGAUAAGGAAAAAACAUGUAUUUUUAUCCCAGAGAGGAUCACUUCAACCAAGCAAUGGCUCAGGCCGCACCUGCCUUCACUUUAACUAACCCACUGUGAGCCAUUUUGAGUUACUUUUGGAUGCUUUAAGAAAUUUCUGAUGUGCUAUAAGGUUUGGGUCUUUUGCAUGUGGAUAUCCAGUUGUCCCAGUAUAUUUAUUGGGAUACAAUCCUUCCUCCAUGUAAUUGCUUUUGCAUCUUUACCAGAACUCAAAUGUCUGUUAUGUGGGUAUCUAUUGGGACUUUAUAUUGGUACUUUGGUGGUUUGUCUAUCUUGAUGUCAAUGCCAGUUUGUCAUGAUUGGUAUAACUUUGUGAUAAGUCGUGGGACUGGGAAGCAUUGGAGCUCUAAUUUUGUUCCUUCAUAAAAGUUGUUUAGACUAAAAAAAAAACAUAGGUAGAAGAAAUAUUUAAUUCUAUUAUAAGUGAAGGGAAUGUAAAGGUAUGCUGUGGUUUCUCGAAUCCCCACUUGCCCAUCUGCCCAUUUUUUGUUCACUAUUUGACAAAUGGGUAAGGUGAUCAUUUUCUCACAGUUACUCUGACAGCCACGGAAGACUCUUGCAAGCUCAGAGUCAUCCUGAAGAAUUUCCAUUUUUUUGUCGACUUUCGUUUCAUGGGUUCCUCUAUAAUCCAAUUCCAGUCGCCUCCCCAAGGACCCUCCCAACUCUAGAUAUGUAUGCUGCAUUUUUGGAAUAGAAAUGUUUACUCAAGGCUUUUAGUUUAGAUUUGUUUUGUUGUCUGUGUGCCUGCAUGACAGUUGGCCAGCAGCCAAAUCCAAAGCAAGCAAAGUUCUAAUUUCCUUUAGGGGAGUGGAAAAAAGCUGUGAUGUAGUAUAGUAGGCAAGUUACCUGUUACCUUAGAGCCUAAAUUUUGUUUGCUUUCAUUUUUCAUCUGUAAAAUGGGGAUAAUAAUAGUUCUGACUUCCAUAGAGUUAUCAGGAUUGAACAAAGUGAAUUGCGUAUUAUGUCUGGGCUAGAGAGCUGUAAAACAUGACACAUUGUUUAUAAAUGACUGCAGAGAUUUCUUUCA